rnacentral:rRNA from 1 species
GNUCAGAUUGAACGCUGGCGGUAUGCUUAACACAUGCAAGUCGAACGGAAACGAAACUAGCUUGCUAGUAGGCGUCGAGUGGCGGACGGGUGAGUAACGCGUAGGAAUCUGCCUGAUAGUGGGGGAUAGCCCGAAGAAAUUCGGAUUAAUACCGCAUAAUCUAUUCGUAGUAAAGUGGGGGACUUUCGAGCCUCACGCUAUCAGAUGAGCCUGCGUAAGAUUAGCUUGUUGGUAGGGUAAAAGCCUACCAAGGCAACGAUCUUUAGCUGGUCUGAGAGGAUGAUCAGCCACAUCGGGACUGAGACACGGCCCGAACUCCUACGGGAGGCAGCAGUGGGGAAUAUUGGACAAUGGGGGCAACCCUGAUCCAGCAAUACCGCGUGUGUGAAGAAGGCCCGAGGGUUGUAAAGCACUUUCAAUUGUGAAGAAAAGUUAGCGGUUAAUAACCGUUGACCUUGACGUUAACUAUAGAAGAAGCACCGGCUAACUCCGUGCCAGCAGCCGCGGUAAUACGGAGGGUGCAAGCGUUAAUCGGAAUUACUGGGCGUAAAGCGUGCGUAGGCGGUUUAUUAAGUCAGAUGUGAAAGCCCCGGGCUUAACCUGGGAACUGCAUUUGAAACUGGUCAACUAGAGUAUGGUAGAGGAAAGUGGAAUUUCUGGUGUAGCGGUGAAAUGCGUAGAUAUCAGAAGGAACAUCAAUGGCGAAGGCAGCUUUCUGGACCAAUACUGACGCUGAGGUACGAAAGCGUGGGUAGCAAACAGGAUUAGAUACCCUGGUAGUCCACGCCGUAAACGAUGAUAACUAGCCGUUGGGGGGAUUUACCCCUUAGUGGCGAAGCUAACGCGUUAAGUUAUCCGCCUGGGGAGUACGGCCGCAAGGCUAAAACU